GAUGAACGCUAGCGGCAGGCCUAAUACAUGCAAGUCGAACGGUCCGCUUCGGCGGAUAGUGGCGCACGGGUGCGUAACACGUAUGCAACCUACCUUACAUUGGGGGAUAGCCUUUCGAAAGGGAGAUUAAUACCGCAUAAGACAGUAGCUGGGAAUCCAGUAGCUGUUAAAGCUUUAUCGAUGUAAGCUGGGCAUGCGUCCAAUUAGUUAGUUGGUGAGGUAACGGCUAACCAAGACGAUGAUUGGUAGGGGAACUGAGAGGUCAAUCCCCCACACUGGCACUGAGAUACGGGCCAGACUCCUACGGGAGGCAGCAGUAGGGAAUAUUGGGCAAUGGACGCAAGUCUGACCCAGCCAUGCCGCGUGCAGGAAGAAGGCGUUCUGCGUUGUAAACUGCUUUUAUAUAGGAAGAAACGACCCUUGCGAGGGGCAUUGACGGUAUUAUAUGAAUAAGCACCGGCUAACUCCGUGCCAGCAGCCGCAGUAAAAC
rnacentral:rRNA from 1 species